rnacentral:tRNA from 1 species
GGGGGUGUUGGGUGAACAUAAGGCGAAAGUGACUAAUAUUACUGUCUUCGGGAGGCAGGGGCCGGAGGUUCGAAUCCUCUCGCUCCGACCA